rnacentral:lncRNA from 1 species
AGAGAAGGAAAAGUCAAAGCCCGAAGUGAUUUCCAGUCCACGUUGGCUUCUUGCCGUUUUCACUCACUGGACCUGCCCAGCGGCUGUUCAUGCUUCUUAAGAAAAGUUGAUCUUCUUGGAAUAAUCACCAGUUUGGCUUCUCAGAGUUCAGCCUGGCCUGGAAGAGGCACCUGAAGAGCCAGAAAUUAUACAUGCCUGUGGUUCUUCAAGUCACUUCUAGCCAUAACAGCAUGGAUUUCUUGGGCUCCUUUGCUUUUGGAUGGACCGGAUGUCUGCUAUGCCGUUCUCAUACACCUUAAGAACACUCCAGAAGGAGAGCCAUGGGCUUUAUUCCACUGAAGGAAGGAAAAAUCUGAGACAUGAACCUCAGCAGGAAUCUGCCCAAUACACCGAGUUCCAGCCCAGUUGGAGGCAAGGCUAGCUUAGAGUCAACAUGUAUUUUCUGGAUUCUAUUGAGUUCUAAGUUAGAUGAAGAAGGAGGAGUGAGCACACGUGCGCGCGCGCGCGCGCACACACACACACACACACACGUACAUCCUUCCUAUUCACAUACAAUCCUUCCACUCCUUUUGGGAUAGUUUCAAUUGCUUGUGCAAGAUGCUUGAGUUACCUGCUGAGAGGUGGUAUGCAUUGCUUCUGUCUAGAACCCAGCGACAUAAUCAACGCAAUUGCAGAGUAGAUCGGGAAAUGCUGAAAUGCACAGAAAUAUAGGUGAACACUGAUGAUCUCUGGCAUUACGCACUUAGCCGUGGGCCUCAGAGAAAUCACCCCGUUCUCCCCUCCUUUUCCCUAAAAUGGGGGCAAUAUCCCCUAGCUUCUGGAAUUCUCAGGAGGAUUAAAUAAGAUAAUGCACCGGAAGGAACCUACCAGUACAGUGCCAGGCACAGAGCAGAGGCUAAAGCAACACCCCCCUUGCUUUUCAAUCCCACCCUUCCUCCCUGUUAGCUGUUCCUGAGAGCCCAUGGGAAAAGAGGAAGCAGGAUGGUCCACAUAUGGUUUUAAUUGGAUAAAUCAGGAGGUGAGGAGAUGCCAUUUGCAUUCUUUUCUGAUCUUCUCAAGGCGAAUGAGUAAUAGCUGGCUGUUUGGAAAGAAACUAUUAGCCUAUGUUGAGCCCUUCCUGAUGGCUUUGAUGGCCGUGUUUCUAGGAUCUGUUGGAAAGGAUAAAGGCACAGAAUGGUACUGCCAUGACAUCUGGGCACUACCAUCCAAAGCCAUAGCAGUUUGCUGGGUUGUUCUUGUAAGCUGAACAGAGAGAAAAGCAUGCUGUGUGCUCCCCAAAUUAUUAACACAGGUUCUGGGAGCUGACACAAUUAUAGUCUGCUUACUGGAUAAGCCGAAGGUGGGUGGAGGUUGUGCAUACAGAUGGCUCUGUCUCUCUGACUCAUGUCUCAAAGGUGUUGACACCUAGGGCCCAGCUUUGGGAAAUGCUCUAUUUGGAAAGGGUUGGCCGAUGGCCUAGGCUAUGUUCUCAUCAUCUAGAAUAUGUUAGAAAAGUCAGUCAGAUGGAAAUUCUGGCCUUCCUCUCCUUAAGGACUGUCAUCCCCUAAUUCCCAUACCCCCAUUUAUGCUAGCUGCUAUGAAUCGCUUUUUCUCUGCAACCUCUUAAUAAUUUAGGUUUAUAUCUUCAGGAUUUUUUUAAAGGUCCAAUGUAAGGCAGUUGUGGAAAUCAGUAUGGGUCCAAUGCCUUAAAAAAAAUACCACAUUAAAGUAGUAAACACUUGAGCUGCAAAUAAUAGUAACUGUGGUUUCAAAAUUAAAGGCAUUGAUUGUUUUACAAGGACGCCUAGAGGAUAGUAGUGCAGGACUGGUUCAGUACUCAAUAAUGACCCCCAAAUCUAUGCUUUCUUUAACCUUUCUACAUUUCCUUAGCUUACCUUGUUGGCCUUUCACCCUCGCGGAUGUUGUCACAUGGUCACAAAACAGCUUCUGUAGCUCCAGGCAUCACAUCAGCAUUCAGGGCAAGAAGAAGGAAGAAAUUAAUAGUACUAGUUCUAUCUGUCCCUUUUAUCAGGACAGACAGCAAAAGCCAGCCUUAAAAUACAGAUCAGGAUAAACAAUUGUUUUCAGCUAAUGUAAUCAAACUUUAGUUCCAAAUUCUUGAGUUUCUCUUCAUGUUUCUGGAAUCAGUCUCUUUUCCCUUACUUCCCUGUGGAAGCAACCCUAGACUAUAGGCUAGGGUUGUAUUUUCCUAUUUUCCUCUGGCAUAUCUCUUAAAGACGGAAAAAGAGACAUUCAAAGAUGAGAGGGAGAGACAGACAGACAGAGACAGAUGACAGAGGGGAAAGAGAGGGAAUUAUGCAGGAUAUAGAGAAAGCUAUUUUGAUCUAUUUCAGUCAAUUUACUUUUUUUGUGUGUUUAUUUUAUUCCCCACCCCUAUCUUUAACAUCACCUGCGGUGAUUAUACCUGCUUUCCCAGUGAGGCCCUGUCCCUCAGUCAUUGAUAGUAUAAUUUCAGAUUCUCAAGUGGUGAUGCAAGAAUGCCCAGCGUUGAGAAGAUGGCUGGCUAAUCAAGCUUCUUGCUAAAUUUGAGUGGAGCAAAAAAUGAAAACUGUUAUAGAUAUAGAAAAGUUUUUCUUUUUAACAAAACUCUCUAGGAAGGGAUCUGGUAUUUAGACAGAAGAGUUUUCAUGCCUGCUUUAGCAUUUUAUUUAUUUGUAAAUAAAAACUGACUUUAGACACCAGUUCAUUCAAACAUUAAAACAAUUGAUUCUU